UACGUAGGGUGCAAGCGUUAUCCGGAAUUACUGGGCGUAAAGGGCUCGUAGGUGGCCAACUAAGUCAGACGUGAAAUCCCUCGGCUUAACCGGGGAACUGCGUCUGAUACUGGAUGGCUUGAGUUUGGGAGAGGGAUGCGGAAUUCCAGGUGUAGCGGUGAAAUGCGUAGAUAUCUGGAGGAACACCGGUGGCGAAGGCGGCAUCCUGGACCAACACUGACACUGAGGAGCGAAAGCCAGGGGAGCAAACGGG
rnacentral:rRNA from 1 species